rnacentral:lncRNA from 1 species
UGCAGAUGAAUCUCAAAUACAUAAUGUUGAGCAAAAGAAGAAACUCACAGAAUAUAAGCAGUAAGAUUCCUUUAUAUAAAGUUCUAAAACAGAAAAAAAAACCCAAUAAUGUUAAUAUGAUCAAAGGUAGUAAAAUUUCAAUAAAAACAAUGGAGUGAUAUUAUAAAAGCAGGAUAGUGGCAGUCUCUGGAUUCUUUUCCUUCCCAGCUAUCCCCUUU